rnacentral:rRNA from 1 species
UACGAAGGGGGCUAGCGUUGCUCGGAAUCACUGGGUUUAAAGGGCGCGUAGGCGGCUUCUUAAGCGUGUGGUGAAAGCUCAGGGCUCAACUCUGAGUCGGCCAUGCGAACUGGGAGGCUUGAGCACUGUAGAGGCAGGUGGAAUUCCGGGUGUAGCGGUGGAAUGCGUAGAGAUCCGGAAGAACACCAGUGGCGAAGGCGGCUCACUGGCCCGAUACUGACGCUGAGGUGCGAAAGCGUGGGGAGCAAACAGG